AUUGAACGCUGGCGGCAGGCCUAACACAUGCAAGUCGAGCGAGCGGCGGACGGGUGAGUAAUGUAUGGGGCUCUGCCUGAGGGAGGGGGAUAACUACUGGACACGGUAUCUAAUACCGCAUACCAUCAGAUGACCCCAUAUGGGAUUAGCUUGUAGGUAAGGUAACGGCUUACCUAGGCGACGAUCCCUAGCUGGUCUGAGAGGAUGAAUCGCCACACGGGGACUGAGACACGGCCCAGACUCCUACGGGAGGCAGCAGUGGGGAAUAUUGGACCAAGGGGGCAAGCCUGAUGCAGCCAUGCCGCGGGGAUGAAGAAGGCCUUCGGGUUGUAAAGUACCUUUAGGCGGGAGGCGGUACCGACAGAAGAAGCACCGGCUAACUCCGUUCCAGCAGCCGCGGUAAUAC
rnacentral:rRNA from 1 species